rnacentral:sRNA from 1 species
GAAGAAUCCAACCGUGUUGCGUCUUCCUUGCCGGACGAGCCUGCUGCGGAUGGGUCCCUCCUCCUGCAAAAACAGAAAUGUAGAUAUUACGGUCACCACGGUUGUUCCAUCACCAUGAAGAGGUGACAUCAUAACGUGCAAUACAUCUGACCACAGCUUGAACAUUCCACAGGACGAGAAGAGCAUCGCAACCAGUUCCAAUUGUGAGCGGCCUCCGCAUUUCCAGACUUAAUGCCGUAGGUGCAGAGAAUCUUCCUGACUUGAAAACUGAGACACCCUCAUUCCGUCAGAGCCUCAAGAGCCAGUGUCCACAUCCUGAGCCUUCCUACCUCUGUGGCCCAAUUCUUGAAGCUUCCUUCUUUGGCAACCAUUUCUGGUGGGACAGCUUUUCGGAUCUGGUCACAGCAUCCGUACCGCUCACUGGAUAGUAUGCUUGCUUUUCCCCUUGAAUAAAACAGCCGAUCUGAGGACUGGAGAGAUGCUCACUUGUGCAAACACCAGAGCCUAUGUGAUGAUAGCCAGAUGUGACACAGGCAAAUGCUGGUCUUGGUCUGAGGUUGUUGUUUCCUGACCACUGAGUCUCAGACCAGGCCAGCAAACUCCAAAUAAGAAAUGGAGCUGCAGAUUCUCUGGCUUCAUUCAAGUUGCCUAAGGGGAGGCGCCAGGAGCUAUGGUUUGUUUUGUUUAUUAAAUGUAUCACUUAUUAAAUUUAUUGAAGGGCACGUGCAUGCCCCAGAGCCAUCUUGCUGGCCCCACCAGGGGCUAUGGAUUUAACCAACUUCCUCAAGUGGUUUCGUUUUGCAGCAAGACUUGAGGCACACUUGGAGAAGAGAUGGGCUUCUUAUUGGCCUGCUAAGACAGAAGGAAGGAAAGGAGAAAGAGGAGGAACUAAAAGGCAGGGGUCAGAGGCAGACAUGUUUGUUGUUCAAUACUGGGGGCUGCCAGUGUGUACAGGGGAAGAGAACUUACUAAAGGGACUGUGAAGCCAUGAGUAGUUGCCCCCAAGUCUCAACCUUGAAGAUAUUUCAUAUUCUCUUAAGUCCUGAGUGUCCGAGAGACACGCAACCAGAUACAAAGUGACUCUGACUUUGAUUCCAAAAGAAUUUUUUAAGGGCAGGUAGUGCUGUUUCUGUGUAUAAAAUCUGUCAUUAUGGAAACGUGUCUCAAAUAAA